rnacentral:tRNA from 1 species
GGAGCGGUGUCCGAGCGGUUGAAGGAGGCGGUCUUGAAAACCGUUGUGCCAUAAGGUACCGGGGGUUCGAAUCCCCCCUGCUCCG